ensembl:snRNA U6 U6 spliceosomal RNA
GUGCUCGCUUUGGCAGGACAGAUACUAAAAUUGGAACAAUACAGAGAAGGUUAGCAUGGCCCCUGCUCAAGGAUGCCACAUAAAUGCUACAGAUGAAUAUAGAAAAG